rnacentral:rRNA from 1 species
AUUGAACGCUGGCGGCAGGCCUAACACAUGCAAGUCGUGCGAGCGGCGGACGGGUGAGUAAUGUCUGGGGAUCUGCCUGAUAGAGGGGGCUAACUACUGGAAACGGUGGCUAAUACCGCAUACUCUCGGAUGAACCCAUAUGGGAUUAGCUAGUAGGUGGGGUAAAGGCUCACCUAGGCGACGAUCCCUAGCUGGUCUGAGAGGAUGACAAGCCACACGGGAACUGUGACACGGCCCAGACUCCUACGGGAGGCAGCAGUGGGGAAUAGUGCACAAUGGGCGCAAGCCUGAUGCAGCCAUGCCGCGUGUAUGAAGAAGGCCUUAGGGUUGUAAAGUACUUUCAGCGGGGAGGCGUUACCCGCAGAAGAAGCACCGGCUAACUCCGUGCCAGCAGCCGCGGUAAUAC